UUUAACUGAAGAGUUUGAUCAUGGCUCAGAUUGAACGCUGGCGGCAGGCUUAACACAUGCAAGUCGAGCGGGCGAGGUUGCUUCGGUAACUGAGCUAGCGGCGGACGGGUGAGUAAUGCUUAGGAAUCUGCCUAUUAGUGGGGGACAACAUUCCGAAAGGGAUGCUAAUACCGCAUACGUCCUACGGGAGAAAGCAGGGGAUCUUUAUGACCUUGCGCU
rnacentral:rRNA from 1 species